AGAAUGAUUAUUUCAAAGCAUUUAAACUUUGAACUCGGACGGAAUAUGAGUAAUUAAUUCUUUCACUUUUGGAGGUAUUUUUUACCUUUAUGUUUAUAUAUAUACGCAACAUACUUAUCAUUCUGUCAACAAAGUGAGACUUCAGUCGACAGUUGAAAUCGAAUUGUGUAUUAUACGAAAGCAGAAAAAGGGAAUAGUAAUAGCGGAUUCUAAAAAAAAUUUUGAUUACAUCGAAACAUUCUGAUAUCUGAUACAAGAUGAAGAAAUGUGCUUGUCCUACGAGAGAUCGCUUACCAAAACUGCCGAAAGGACCAGAAAAUUCGCCAAUACCGCCACCACAACAGAUAAAAAUGCCAAACAAUAAUCCUCAAGAGAAGAAAAACAUAUCUCCACCUAAAUGAUAAUGAACCAAAACUGCAUCUGAUUUUUAUUUUUCGUUUCUGUUUUAAAUAUGUAACAGUAUUCGAUAUUUUACUUUCCACGGAGUACUUCACCUUCUUUAUUUUUUAAUAAAAUGGUAUCUUUCCCAUUCUA